GACGGAGGAUGCAAGUGUUAUCCGGAAUUAUUGGGCGUAAAGCGUCUGCAGGUUGUUUAGAAAGUCCGCUGUUAAAGCUCAAGGCUUAACCUUGAAUCAGCAGUAGAAACUAUUAGACUAGAGUGCGGUAGAGGUAAAGGGAAUUUCCAGUGGAGCGGUGAAAUGCGUAGAUAUUGGAAAGAACACCAAUGGCGAAGGCACUUUACUGGGCCGUAACUGACACUCAGAGACGAAGGCUAAGGUAGCAAAUGGGAUUAGAUACCCCAGUAGUCUUAGCAGUAAACGAUGGAUACUAGAUGUUGCGAGCUCACCUCAGUAUCAAAGCUAACGCGUUAAGUAUCCCGCCUGGGGAGUACGCACGCAAGUGUU
rnacentral:rRNA from 1 species